rnacentral:rRNA from 1 species
UGGGGAAUCUUGCACAAUGGGGGAAACCCUGAUGCAGCGACGCCGCGUGAACGAUGAAGCCCUUCGGGGUGUAAAGUUCUUUCGACAGGAACGAUAAUGACGGUACCUGGAGAAGAAGCUGCGGCUAACUACGUGCCAGCAGCCGCGGUAAUACGUAGGCAGCGAGCGUUGUUCGGAGUUACUGGGCGUAAAGAGUGCGUAGGCGGCGAGCCAAGUUUGGUGUGAAAUCUCCCGGCUUAACCGGGAGGGUGCGCCGAAAACUGGUUGGCUGGAGUAUGGGAGAGGAAAGAUGAAUUCCUGGUGUAGCGGUGAAAUGCGUAGAUAUCAGGAGGAACACCUGCGGUGUAGACAGCUUUCUGGACCAAAACUGACGCUGAGGCACGAAAGCGUGGGUAGCAAACA